CCUACGUGUGGCAGCAGUGAGGAAUAUUGGUCAAUGGCCGAGAGGCUGAACCAGCCAAGUCGCGUGAGGGAAGACGGCCCUACGGGUUGUAAACCUCUUUUGUCGGGGAGCAAAGCGCACCACGUGUGGUUCAUUGAGAGUACCCGAAGAAAAAGCAUCGGCUAACUCCGUGCCAGCAGCCGCGGUAAUUCGGAGGAUCCGAGCGUUAUCCGGAUUUAUUGGGUUUAAAGGGUGCGCAGGCGGAGGUGCAAGUCAGCGGUGAAAUUGCGGGGCUAAACCCAGUACUGCCGUUGAAACUGCAUGCCUUGAGGGCGCGAGAGGUAUGCGGAAUGCGUGGUGUAGCGGUGAAAUGCAUAGAUAUCACGCAGAACUCCGAUUGCGAAGGCAGCAUACCGGCGCGCAACUGACGCUCAUGCACGAAAGCGUGGGUAUCGAACAGGAUUAGAUACCCGGGUAGUC
rnacentral:rRNA from 1 species